CUUGACCUCGGAUCAGGUAGGGAUACCCGCUGAACUUAAGCAUAU
rnacentral:rRNA from 7 species